GCUCAUGUAGCGUAGUGGUUUGAGUGCUGGACUAUGACUCUGGAGAUCAGGGUUCAAUUCUCUACUCAGCC